rnacentral:rRNA from 1 species
UACGUAGGCAGCAAGCGUUGUUCGGAGUUACUGGGCGUAAAGGGUGCGUAGGCGGCCUUAUAAGUAUGGUGUGAAAUCUCCCGGCUUAACUGGGAGGGUGCGCUAUAGACUGUGGGGGCUAGAGUGUGGGAGAGGAAAGUGGAAUUCCUGGUGUAGCGGUGAAAUGCGUAGAUAUCAGGAGGGAACACCGGUGGUGUAAAACGGCUUUCUGGACCAUAACUGACGCUGAGGCACGAAAAGCGUGGGGUAGCAAAACAGGGA